GCCCCGCGCCGUGGCGCUCCUCCUCUUCGCUGCCGGUGGGCACCGCCGCUCGCUCGCACUUCUGCGCCCAUCGGAGCUUCGGAGAUCCCUGAGGUCCCGCGGGACGGCGCGGCAGCAGCUGACCUCGCAGACAGGAUCUUGCUCUCUUGCCCAGACUGGAAUACAGUGCUGUGAACACGGCUCACUGCAGCCUUAACCCCCUGGACUCAGGAAAGGCCAAGGUUUGGAGGUGGAGGAGGGAUUGCACACAUGGCUGGGGGAAAGUGAAUGAUCCAUGUAACCAAA